GGGGGCUUAGCUCAGUUGGUAGAGCGUCUGAUUUGCAUUCAGAAGGUCAGGAGUUCGACUCUCCUAGCUUCCA
rnacentral:tRNA from 1 species